rnacentral:hammerhead_ribozyme from 1 species
AGUCGAAACUGGGGCUCUCCGCCUCAGUCUGCCGGACUUGGCCGCCCGGCACUGAUGAGACAGGCCUUA